AGCCACUCAGAUGCUGCUAUGUGAAAGAGCCAUACUUGUUGCUUGCUGCUUGAACAUCUACUUUUUCUCCUCCAGUGUGUGAUAAACUUGGGAGAUCAUACACUGCAGUCGUGCCACUGGGGAAAAGACAGAGGAAAGGGGAAAGGGACAAGGAGGAAGAGAAGAAAAGGAGGAGGAAGAGAAGAAAAGGAGGAGAAAGAGCAGGAGGGAAAGAAGGCCCUGCCCCAUCGCUAAUGGAUGGUCCUAAGAGCCACACACACGACACCAUGAAGUCCUCACUGGCCACUGGAUGAAGGAAGACUGGCAGAGAAAGAGUUAGCACAACUGCUUGAUUGUUAGCCAGGAGAAAGCUGCCUCUUAUCUGUUCACUGGACUCUGAAAGAACAUAGGGCAAAGAAGACAGAGGGGCUGGAGGAAGAAGAAUCUUCAUUUAAAUCCGGGCUCCGUUCUUGAGAAGCUGAGUAUCUCUGAGGAAGUUUCUUGUUAAGAUGCAGAAUGCUCAGUAGGAGGCAAAAGCCAGAAAAUAUCUUCGCAUGACCUGAAGAAGUGUUAUUCAGAUGGCAGUGCUGAGAAGGUGAGGUAGCUGCUUGGGACCUCCGCAGCGGGACGAUUCCACUCUGACACCGGAGAGGAGGCGCUGCUGUGCGCGGUGUUACAGCCAACAGAAACUGAGACGGGAAUUUCUGAUUUCUGGUCCAGCGUACUGAAACUGGCUGAGGUGUGGGCACGUAUGGA
rnacentral:lncRNA from 1 species